CUUGUCUUUCUCUUGGAAUCCCUUACCCUCUGGCAGGAAGUAGAGGAAGAGCAAACUGGCUUUGGGAACCAGGCAUACCUAGUUGUGCUGUCAGCCAAAGCCCACCAAGUUCAUCCUGUAAAGUCACACGCCUGAAGAAACAACCAAAAGUCCAUUACUUAAAGACAUGAUAUACAGAACAUAUUGAUCUACAAAAGACCCAACGACCCAAAUUAUAUGCUGCCCAACCUACUGGUGAACUGGAUUGGAACUGGCCAA
rnacentral:lncRNA from 1 species